GGCAAGAACAAGUAUUUACACAAUCAUGAGGCUAGGCGCCUUAAGGAAAAGCUACGGAAUGAAGAAUCUGGUUUGUUAGAUGAUACAAUCUCAAGGCGUUUUGUGGACUCAAAACUUAUGUUGUGGCCUCAACAGUUCUGCAUUUAGAGGAGUCACCUGUCAUGGAACAAAUUGGGAAUUUUCUGAUGAAAGGGCAAGGAGAUUACAUGAAUCUUCUUCCUUUAAUUCAUAGCACUAUCUUGUCUUUAUGCUAUUGAAAGAUGCAGCAUGUUCAUGGUGCUUCAGUUUUGAACAGGUAAAUUAUAAUAAACAAGACAAGAUUGCAGUACUUCUAUAUUAUUCUCAGCA